rnacentral:misc_RNA from 1 species
UAUCUGAGCCUCAACAAAAUGGCCAACACGCGCUGGAGCCAUUACAGGGAUGGAAACUGCACGUUUUAUCUCCUUGAUAAGAGAUGGGUCAGGCAUUCGCCUAAUUCCUCGACGCGUUGGUUCCGCUACCACAAUAGCACAAGCACCAGCGUCUUCUGCUAUCUUGGCUGCUUGUAGAUUAGUGACUUGGACAAUUGCCCCGCCGCGAAGCAUCUGAGCUAAACCUACCUUGAUGGAAUAUGGGUUCUUCUUGGCAUCGGUAAUGACGCUGCUAUUGUAGACAGUCACAGCACCAUCUUCUUCCAUUUGUGAAAAUGCCUGAAAGAAGCAGCGAAACAGAUAUAAUUCUACAGAUGGAACGCAAUUGAUGUUGAACUGCUCGGCUUUG